rnacentral:lncRNA from 1 species
UUAUAUCAGGAAUCUUAAAGAGAAGAUACCACAGCUGAUUGUCCAACUAGCGAAAGAAAAUGGAAACUGGAGCGAAAGAAGAAGGAGCUCGCAGACGAGACAGUGUGCAGAGAUGAUGAAGUUUGCUUCACACUUGGUUGUCGGAAAGAAAGUCCUGUCCAGUCUUGAACUAAUCAACUACUCUACUUAACUCAGCAAGUAAAAGACAAAGAAAGCAAGUCAACCCUAUAUUCCAUUCCAAAAGAAUCUUUCCCUCCAACCGAAAUCAGAAGAGCCGCCCUCGAGGUGGGGAAGAGGCGCCCGUCCAUUCCUUCCCAUCCGAGUAACAUAACCCUAUCAACAGUCCUUCAAGUGAGAUAAGAACUCAAUAGAUUCAAUAUUAUACAUAGACUGUACUAAUCAAAAGAAGAAGAAGGGCUUCGUUACGCUAUGCUUUUCCCUACUAGGGCUUUUCUUGUCUACAUUAGUUCAAGUAUGAGAGAAUGAAUUCCUCUAGCUAAGUUCCCUAUCGAGAGGGAAGAGAAGUUCGGAGCUUAAGGUAGUAAGGUAGUUCAGUCACCCUCAGGUCAUAAUAGAGUCUAGUAUGACAUCGGUAGGAAGAUAAUGCAGCUAAGGCAAAACUUGCUUCUGAGGCAUGUCUGACUUUACUUGCUGUUGCCGAUAUGAUCUUUUCUUGAAGAAGUAGAGUUUGUUGUUAUCGUAGAUAAGAGUUCCAGAAUGGAUAUAGAUAAGGGUAAUCGUAAUAAUUGAUUACUCUGAGUCAAAGCUGGACUUCAACUACCUACCGUCUAUUAGGGAACCCAGACAGCCUAUGAGCUCAAAGGAAAACUCUUCGCUGCCUUAGUUGUCGGGCUGGGGGAUAUGUACACCAUUCGCCUUAACUACGUCAAAGACUGAUUUAGAAAUUGUGAGUUCACCUAGAAAGAUCUAAGUGAGUAGAGGAAUUGGCUACUAGGCAUCUAUGAAGUCCCCCCUUGCGUGAGACUCUUGUUUAGGGUUGGAGUCCCCAGUAUCCAAUCUGUGAACGAAUGAAUCACAAGAAUCGGUACAAUCCCUUUUUUGUCAUCCAGCGGGAGGUCAGUCAAUCUACUCGAUUUCAUAAACUAGAAUUACAAGAUCAGAAAGAGCUCAGCUUAGUGAGGCUUUUUUACUCACAUACGAAAACAACAGUACGAGGCGAAAACUCAAACUUUUGAAAGGCUACCUUAAUCUUUAUUUAUUCCACAUCUUCAUCAGCAACAGCAAUCCACUUGCUUAAUUAGCACUCCGAGUCAGUAUCCAAGAAAGUCAAGGUUCUUGAACGAAAUCCAAUCAAGUCGAAAAAGUCCUAUAAUCUCUUUCUUUUCCACAUCUCAAUCUUACAUGAGCCAUGAAUGAGGCUAUGAGAGCACUAAGCAAAGGGGGAAGUAGGCGAACCUAUGGGUCUUCUUAGCAAAAAAGCCUCCUUUCGGGUGGAGGGCGGGAAGAGCACAGGAAUGACUACAAAGAAGACUGAAAACUUCCAUCGAGAAUGUCGAUCCAUAGAGAAAUCGAAGCAUAUCGAGACCAGGAAAGAAAGGCUUGGCUAACCACUGAUAGUAGGAUUGACGACUUUUCUCGGUAGGGGAGUAGAACUGGAUCGAAGUUGGAUGGCCAUUCACUAAAGAAAAUGCCAUUCAUCGAUUUUCACACGGGUAGGAAGAAAGUUCUCCACCCGAUCGCUCUUGGGACAACAGCUUGUGAGGGAAAGACGGUGAUAGCGGAUUCAGCAUGGGAAGGUAGAACAUGGAUCUCGAUGUCCGAUCAUUGAGAAAGGAAGGAUGCUUCGCUUGUCGGUUUGGAUUGCUUCAUCAAAGACACGAUCUAGAGAAGGAAGGUGUCAUCCGUCGUCCGGUCUCCUUUGAUUUGAUGCUCACUCCACUUUGAACUGAACUAAUGUCGUAUGUUAACGAGUCUGUCUAUCCAUACCUGUGCACGUAUGAUUUUCUUUCUUUCUCCUGGGCCCCUCUGGGGAAAUCCUUUGCUGACUGCGGGCACCCCCUAGUCAACACGAGUGGUUUUAUCCCGAUCCAUAAUAGUAUGUCAUGAUAGAUGAUUGAUGAGAAUGCGAGCACCUAUGAUCUUAUGAAGCAGAUGCUUUUU